rnacentral:rRNA from 1 species
GAUGAACGCUAGCUACAGGCUUAACACAUGCAAGUCGAGGGGCGAGCAUUUCUAGUUUGUCUUGCAAACUGAAGAUGGCGACCGGCGCACGGGUGAGUAACACGUAUCCAACCUGCCGAUAACUCGGGGAUAGCCUUUCGAAAGAAAGAUUAAUAUCCGAUGGUAUAAUUAGACCGCAUGGUCUUGUUAUUAAAGAAUUUCGGUUAUCGAGUGGGGAUGCCGUUUCCAUUAGGCAGUUGGUGAGGUAACGGCUCACCAAACCUUCGAUGGAGUAGGGGUUCUGAGAGGAACGGUCCCCCACAUU